AGUCUCAGAGUAGGACUGCUGACCUAGGAUCAGGUCAUAAAGAGUCUCAGAGUAGGACUGCUGACCUAGGAUCAGGUCAUAAAGAGUCUCAGAGUAGGACUGCUGACCUAGGAUCAGGUCAUAAAGAGUCUCAGAGUAGGACGGCUGAUCUAGGAUCAGGUCAUAAAGAGUCUCAGAGUAGGACUGCUGAUCUAGGAUCAGGUCAUAAAGAGUCUCAGAGUAGGACUGCUGACCUAGGAUCAGGUCAUAAAGAGUCUCAGAGUAGGACGGCUGAUCUAGGAUCAGGUCAUAAAGAGUCUCAGAGUAGGACUGCUGAUCUAGGAUCAGGUCAUAAAGAGUCUCAGAGUAGGACUGCUGAUCUAGGAUCAGGUCAUAAAGAGUCUCAGAGUAGGACCGCUGACCUAGGAUCAGGUCAUAAAGAGUCUCAGAGUAGGACCGCUGAUCUCGGUUUUCCCUUUUGUAGAGCAUUCUGAUUAUAUACUGUAUGGACAGGGGGAGCUGAUCCUGGAUCUGUAGUCCUACUGCCGAGAUGCUUUCUGAAUUCUUAUCCAGUGAUUGAGAGACAUUAAUCUAGUCAAAUCCAUAAUCAAUGGGAUGUGGAGGAUCAGUUUAUUAACAGUUUGCUGUGUAAUGAAAGGGUUUGUUCUUCAUUAUAUCCUUCAACCAACAUGUGGAUCCACGUAUGCCUGCUGUUUAUCAUACAGAUAGGACCUUAAUGCCCUUUGAUUCUUCAGUUGUAAUUGAAUUGAAUAAAGAUGAGUCUUGCUCUCCAUCACACAAACCCAUCAGUGUUGGAAACAA